AGCGAACGCUGGCGGCAGGCCUAACACAUGCAAGUCGAACGAACUCUUCGGAGUUAGUGGCGGACGGGUGAGUAACACGUGGGAACGUGCCUUUUGGUUCGGAAUAACUCAGGGAAACUUGUGCUAAUACCGAAUGUGCCCUUCGGGGGAAAGAUUUAUCGCCAUUAGAGCGGCCCGCGUCUGAUUAGCUAGUUGGUGAGGUAACGGCUCACCAAGGCGACGAUCAGUAGCUGGUCUGAGAGGAUGACCAGCCACACUGGGACUGAGACACGGCCCAGACUCCUACGGGAGGCAGCAGUGGGGAAUCUUGCGCAAUGGGCGAAGGCCUGACGCAGCCAUGCCGCGUGAAUGAUGAAGGUCUUAGGAUUGUAAAAUUCUUUCACCGGGGACGAUAAUGACGGUGCCCGGAGAAGAAGCCCCGGCUAACUUCGUG
rnacentral:rRNA from 1 species